UUUCACCUGACACUGUACAAUACACGUUUUCCUGUGCCUCCAGUGGGAAGAUUGUUAAGUCUUCAUCUAAAUCCAGAAAUGGAUGUAAAUGAGCUACAAUAUUAUGUGAGACUUAGGAUAGCAUUGUUAUCCUGAAGUACAGAAUUUUUAUAACUACUUUUUAUAAUAGGUAUUCUCAAAUAUUCUAGUCUAAGUACCAUAGAGUCUAGUAUAUGGUUAUUAUAAAAAUGAUGUACAUUGUGUUUAUCUAUAGCCAUUAAGAAGGGAGAUUUUUCUCCAGUACCAGUAUUGUUUUCUAUCAGUAUUGCUAAAAGCUAUUUAAAGUCUCCUAGCCACCUUUAAUUUAAGACAGUUUUGGAGCAAGUCACUUUGCACAGGCUUAUUUAGGGUACCAUAUUCAGUUCUCAGUGUAAUCCAUGUGUUUUUCAGUGUGUUUCUUUACUCAGUUCAUUCAGUUCUGAGAGGUGGCUCCAUUUUCUUGAUCAGCCAACCAUUUUCAUAGCAGGAUUUGUUGAUGAUCCCUUGCUUUUCUGCUAAUGCUUCAUUGACUUUUCCCGAUAGAGGAGAGGAGAGUUCACUGGCAGCCUUCACACCACCCAAAGUUACUCUUGCUAGAAUGGGUAGAAGACUAGCUUAAAAAAAAAAAAGAUUUAUUUAUUGUUAGGAGUGGAGAGAGGAGAGAUGGCUCAACCGUUAAAAGCAUUUGCUGCAGCUCUUGCAGAAGACCUAGGUUUGGUUCUCACAGUCACAUGGUGACUCACAACUUUCUAUAACUCCAGCUCUAGGGGACCUGACAUCUUUUGUCUUCAGGUACUGCGUACAUCUGGUGGAUCUAUGUACAACAGGCAAAAUAUUCAUGAAUUAAUUUUAUGAUAGCAGCUUAAAACAGGGCUUUUGUUUGUGAAAAAAUGGCAUAAGAUAUACAGAUGAUAGGGCUGGAGAGAUGGCUCAAUAGAUAAAGCAUAAGCCUGAGCCAAGUUCAAGUCCUCAGAACCUAUAUAAAGUCAAGCAUGUUAGCCUAUGUCUAUAAUCCCAUUGCACCUAUGCCAGGGUAUAAGGUAGGGAUAAGAGAAUUCCCAAAGCUCAAAAGCCAGCCAGCCUGUUCUCCAUAGCUAUGAACAUCGAUAACAAAAGACACCCUAUCUCAGCAAGGUUGGUGAGGAUUGAUAUCAGAAGUUGUCCUCUGACUUAACACAUAUACCAUGUAUUAUGUGCUCACACACACACACACACACACACACACACACCAUAUACAUACACACAUAUAUGCAAUUACACACAAAAUAAAACAUGUACAUGUACUUGAUAAUUGAAACUGUCCUUUAAAGAGUUACCCAGAGUGGCUGGAGAGAUGGCUUACCAGUUACGAGUACUCACUGCAUUUUCAGAGGACCAAAGUUUGGUCCUAGUACCACAUCAGGCAGCUUACAAAUUUGCAUAUAAAUGUAUAAGUCACUGAAAUUUUGGAAGGAAUAAAUAAAACCUUUCACCAGCAACAUUUUAAUAAUUCACUUUCAGCAUUGUUAUGAUCUUUUUCUCCUCCUCCUCCUUCUCCUCUUCCUCCUCCUCCUCCACCAUCUCCAUGCUGGUGAUGAACCUAGUGGCUUGCCUAUAAAACCAGUUCUAGGGGCUCUUGAUAAACAUAAACUCAUGGAGGUACACAUUCGUACACAUAAUAAAAAAUAAAUCUUAAAAUAACUACCUCAGGGGAAAGACUAGAAGAAAAAAACUUCGUCAGUGCUGAGACUAUAGUUGAGUAUUAAGCACUUAAUAGCAAGUGUGAAACUCUCUAAUUUUGUCAGGGCUCUGUAGAGGUGGAGCUUCAUGGUAGGGUGCUUGUCUACGUUUACUAGACCUGUCUUUUAUCACCAGCACUGUUUAAAGAAAAAAAUAAUCAUAAAAAUGCUGAAAGUGAAUGUAUUAAAAUGUUGUUGGUGAGAGGUUAUAUAUUUUUUUCUUCUAAAAUUUCGGUGAUUUAUAUUUUGUUUUACUUAAAGUAUAGUUUGGACCGCUUCUGUAAAUGGUAGGUGGUGAUAAGUUGCUGCAGACCUUACCAGCAGUGCUUGAGUUAUCCAGUGAGCUGUGUCCUCACGCUAAUGUUUAUGCUCUGCCUAGGGAUGGAAGACCUCAACUUGCUUUUUUUGUUUUGUACAGGGUUUCGUUGUGUAGCCCUGGCUGUCUCAGAACUUGCUCUGUAGACCAGGCUGGCCUAGAACUCACAGAGGUCCGCCUGCCUCUGUCUCACAAGUGCUGGGAUUAAAGGUGUGCACCAACAGUGCUGCACAUCUGAACCUCAACUUCUUUACCUUUGAAUUUCCUAUCCCAAGCAAAUAACACCAGAAUAAAACAUUCUCACAUUUAUAAAUCAAUAAAAAGCAAAAUUUUAACGU
rnacentral:lncRNA from 1 species